AUGGAGGGCGUCCGGGACAUCCUGCCGGGACCGAGCGGGUCCCCGCGGCCCCGCUGCUCCCUCCGACACGCCGCCCUGCACGGCAAAGGGACGGGCGUCAGCCGGCCCCGCGCCGCCGGCACCCCCGGUCACCCCGACUGCCCCCGCGGACGGGGAUGGAGCCGGUGCCGGUGCCGCUGCGUGCGGGAGCCCGGGGCAGGCGGGAGCGCAAGGGGCCGCGGGGCUAAACGCGGGUGUAAACACGGGGCGAGGAACGGGGCCAGCCCGGCCCGGCGGCCCAGCAGGCGGGGAGCCGCGGCAGGAGCAGGAAGGAAGGCGGGCGGAUGGGGGAGGCGGCGCAGCGUCCGCCGAGCAGGUCCUGCCCGCGGCGGAGGUGGGGUUCGGGCUCGCACCGUCCCGGCCCCGGGGCUGAGCCGGAGGACCCCGCCCGCCGUUCCGGGGCAGGGCUCUGCCGGGGAAGGGCACGGCAGGAUCCGCAGCCCCGGGGCGGGCGAGGCGGCCCCGGCGGGAGGACGCACCUCUGUGCCCCCCCCCACCCCGCCCGCGCCGUCCCGGGGCCGGAGAGCGGCUCCGCCGGGGCCGCGCCGCCCGCCGGGGCCCCAGCGCCUUCUCCUUCCUCCCCUCCCUCUCCCCCUCCAUCGCCCUCAGGCUUCGCAGUCCUCCCGGGGCGGACUAAGGCUGCUCCGGGCGGGCGGCGGCGGGCUCCCGGCCACCCCGCCCGCGCUCCCUGCACCGCCGGGAGUCCCCGGCAGCCCCCCGCCCGCCCCGGUACCAGGAGCCGACGGAGACGCGUCCCGGGGCUCCCUCCGCCCGCGCCGGCUAAGCGCCGCGGCUCGGCGUGGGUGCGAAGCCGGCCCCGUCCAGCAGCGGGGAGGGCGGGGGGGAAGCACCGACCCCCCCCCCCCAAGCCCCGCCCAGCCCUCCUGCCGCCUCCCGGUACCGGGGGAGGCGGGAGCUGCCCUCGCAGAGCCCCUCCUUUCCCCUCCGGCCGCGCUCACCGGGACCCGCCGCCGGCCGGACCGUGGGGCUGCGACUCGCGGGAGCACGGGCUCGGGGGCGCGGGGCCGGGCCCGACCGGCGGCACAAAGCUGGUCGGGAGCCGCCGGGCGCUCCCCCGUCCCCACGGCGCUGCCCGGUGCCACGGGUGCUGCGCCGGGGCCACGCAGCUGCGGUACAGGGAGGGGGGACGGGGGGCGGCUGACCGGCCUCUCCGCUGCGCCGGGCUGA
rnacentral:lncRNA from 1 species